rnacentral:rRNA from 1 species
GAUGAACGCUGGCGGCGUGCCUAAUACAUGCAAGUCGAGCGAACAGACGAGGAGCUUGCUCCUUUGACGUUAGCGGCGGUCGGGUGAGUAACACGUAGGUAACCUACCUAUAAGACUGGGAUAACUUCGGGAAACCGGAGCUAAUACCGGAUAAUAUUUCGAACCGCAUGGUUCGAUAGUGAAAGAUGGCUUUGCUAUCACUUAUAGAUGGACCUGCGCCGUAUUAGCUAGUUGGUAAGGUAACGGCUUACCAAGGCAACGAUACGUAGCCGACCUGAGAGGGUGAUCGGCCACACUGGAACUGAGACACGGUCCAGACUCCUACGGGAGGCAGCAGUAGGGAAUCUUCCGCAAUGGGCGAAAGCCUGACGGAGCAACGCCGCGUGAGUGAUGAAGGUCUUCGGAUCGUAAAACUCUGUUAUUAGGGAAGAACAAACGUGUAAGUAACUGUGCACGUCUUGACGGUACCUAAUCAGAAAGCCACGGCUAACUACGUG